rnacentral:tRNA from 1 species
AGCCUUAUAGUCAAUUUAUGAUGUUGGAAUGCAAUUCUGGAGUUGUAUUAGUUUACUGAGGUUUAGGUUU